rnacentral:rRNA from 1 species
GAUGAACGCUGGCGGCGUGCUUAACACAUGCAAGUCGAACGAAGUGGCGAACGGGUGAGUAACGCGUAAUCAACCUGCCCUUCAGCGGGGGACAACAGCUGGAACCGUCUGCUAAUACCGCAUACUGAAGGAGGGGCUUGCGUCUGAUUAGCUCGUUGGAGGGGUAACGGCCCACCAAGGCGAUGAUCAGUAGCCGGGCUGGGAGGAUGAACGGCCACAGUGGGACGGGGACACGGCCCAGACGCCUACGGGAGGCAGCAGUGGGGAAGCUUCCGAAAUGGACGAAAGUCUGACGGAGCAACGCCGCGUGAGGGAUGACGGCCUGCGGGUUGUAAAGCUCUGUUAAUCGGGACGCGGUACCGGAAUAGAAAGCCACGGCUAACUACGUGCCAGCAGCCGCGGUAAUAC